UACAGAGGUCUCGAGCGUUAGGCGGAAUCACUGGGCUUAAAGCGUGUGUAGGUGGAUCGUUAAGUACCUUGUGAAAUCCCACGGCUUAACCGUGGAACUGCUUGGUAUACUGGCGGUCUUGAGUCAGCUAGGGGCUACCGGAACAAAUGGUGGAGCGGUGAAAUGCGUAGAUAUCACUCGGAAGGCCAAAGGCGAAGGCAGGUUACUGGUACGCAACUGACGCUGAGGCACGAAAGCGUGGGGAGCAAACAGG
rnacentral:rRNA from 1 species